GAUGAACGCUGGCGGCGUGCCUAAUACAUGCAAGUCGAGCGAACAGACGAGGAGCUUGCUCCUCUUACGUUAGCGGCGGACGGGUGAGUAACACGUGGAUAACCUACCUAUAAGACUGGGAUAACUUCGGGAAACCGGAGCUAAUACCGGGUAAUAUAUUGAACCGCAUGGUUCAAUAGUGAAAGACGGUUUUGCUGUCACUUAUAGAUGGAUCCGCGCCGCAUUAGCUAGUUGGUAAGGUAACGGCUUACCAAGGCAACGAUGCGUAGCCGACCUGAGAGGGUGAUCGGCCACACUGGAACUGAGACACGGUCCAGACUCCUACGGGAGGCAGCAGUAGGGAAUCUUCCGCAAUGGGCGAAAGCCUGACGGAGCAACGCCGCGUGAGUGAUGAAGGUCUUCGGAUCGUAAAACUCUGUUAUUAGGGAAGAACAAAUGUGUAAGUAACUAUGCACGUCUUGACGGUACCUAAUCAGAAAGCCACGGCUAACUACGUG
rnacentral:rRNA from 1 species